GUUAGGAAUAUUGGACAAUGGGCGCAAGCCUGAUCCAGCCAUGCCGCGUGAGUGAUGAAGACCUUCGGGUUGUAAAGCUCUUUAGUCCACGAAUAUAAUGACUGUAGUGGAAGAAUAAGCCCCGGCUAACUUCGUGCCAGCAGCCGCGGUAAUACGAAGGGGGCGAGCGUUAUUCGGAAUCACUGGGCGUAAAGCGUGCGUAGGCUGUUUUGUAAGUCAGAAGUGAAAGCCCAGGGCUUAACCCUGGAAUUGCUUUUGAAACUACAAGACUCGAAUUCGGUAGAGGAUAGCGGAAUUGUCAGUGUAGCAGUGAAAUGCGUAGAUAUUGACAGGAACACCAGUGGCGCAAGCGGCUAUCUGGACCGAUAUUGACGCUGAGGCACGAAAGCGUGGGGAGCAAACAGGAUUAGAAACCCUGGUAGUCC
rnacentral:rRNA from 1 species